CAACGCCGCGUGGGGGAUCGAAGGCUUUUCGGAGUGUAAACCCCUUUCGACCCGGAAGAAAGCCCGCAAGGGUUUGACGGGUUACCGGUAUAAGAAGCCCGACUACACGUGC
rnacentral:rRNA from 1 species